rnacentral:precursor_RNA from 15 species
GCCAAGAAGAUCUCUCUGUCUUCUGUAUAUACCCUGUAGAUCCGAAUUUGUGUAAGGAAUUUUGUGGUCACAAAUUCGUAUCUAGGGGAAUAUGUAGUUGACAUAAACACUCCGCUCAUUU